rnacentral:rRNA from 1 species
GAUCAUUACAAGAAGCCGAAAGGCUACUUCAAACCAUCGCGAACUCGUCCAAGUUGCUUCGGCGGCGCGGCACCCCUUAACGGGGGCGCCGCAGCCCUGCCUCUCCGGAGGUUCGGGGCGCCCGCCGGAGGUACGAAACUCUGUAUUAUAGUGGCAUCUCUGAGUAUAAAACAAAUAAGUUAAAACUUUCAACAACGGAUCUCUUGGUUCUGGCAUCGAUGAAGAACGCAGCGAAAUGCGAUAAGUAAUGUGAAUUGCAGAAUUCAGUGAAUCAUCGAAUCUUUGAACGCACAUUGCGCCCGGUAGUACUCUACCGGGCAUGCCUGUUCGAGCGUCAUUUCAACCCUCAAGCCCUGCUUGGUGUUGGGGCCCUACGGCUGCCGUAGGCCCUGAAAGGAAGUGGCGGGCUCGCUACAACUCCGAGCGUAGUAAUUCAUUAUCUCGCUAGGGAGGUUGCGGCGUGCUCCUGCCGUUAAAGACCCAUCUUUAACCAAGGUUGACCUCGGAUCAGGUAGGAAUACCCGCUGAACUUAAGCAUAUCAAUAAGCGGAGGAAAAGAAACCAACAGGGAUUGCCCUAGUAACGGCGAGUGAAGCGGCAACAGCUCAAAUUUGAAAUCUGGCUUCGGCCCGAGUUGUAAUUUGUAGAGGAUGCUUUUGGUGAGGUGCCUUCUGAGUUCCCUGGAACGGGACGCCAGAGAGGGUGAGAGCCCCGUAUAGUCGGCCACCGAUCCUUUGUAAAGCUCCUUCGACGAGUCGAGUAGUUUGGGAAUGCUGCUCAAAAUGGGAGGUAUAUCUCUUCUAAAGCUAAAUAUAGGCCAGAGACCGAUAGCGCACAAGUAGAGUGAUCGAAAGAUGAAAAGCACUUUGAAAAGAGGGUUAAAUAGCACGUGAAAUUGUUGAAAGGGAAGCGCUUGUGACCAGACUUGUGCCGGGCUGAUCAUCCAGUGUUCUCACUGGUGCACUCGACCCGGCUCAGGCCAGCGUCGGUUUUCGUGGGGGGAUAAAAGCUUCGGGAACGUGGCACCUUCGGGUGUGUUAUAGCCCGUUGCUUAAUACCUCCGUGGAGACCGA